ACUCCUACGGGAGGCAGCAGUGGGGAAUAUUGCACAAUGGGCGCAAGCCUGAUGCAGCAACGCCGCGUGAGUGAUGAAGGCCUUCGGGUCGUAAAGCUCUGUCCUCAAGGAAGAAUAAAUGACGGUACUUGAGGAGGAAGCCCCGGCUAACUACGUGCCAGCAGCCGCGGUAAUACGUAGGGGGCAAGCGUUAUCCGGAAUCACUGGGCGUAAAGGGUGCGUAGGCGGUUUUUCAAGUCAGAAGUGAAAGGCUAUGGCUCAACCAUAGUAAGCUUUUGAAACUGUUAAACUUGAGUGCAGGAGAGGAAAGUGGAAUUCCUAGUGUAGAGGUGAAAUUCGUAGAUAUUAGGAGGAACACCAGUGGCGAAGGCGACUUUCUGGACUGUAACUGACGCUGAGGCACGAAAGCGUGGGGAGCGAACAGGAUUAGACACCCUGGUAGCACAGAG
rnacentral:rRNA from 1 species